rnacentral:rRNA from 1 species
GACGAACGCUGGCGGCGCGCCUAACACAUGCAAGUCGAACGGAGUAAUUUCUUCGGAGGUUACUUAGUGGCGAACGGGUGAGUAACGCGUGAGAAACCUGCCUUUCAGUGGGGGACAACAGUUGGAAACGACUGCUAAUACCGCAUAAUGUUAUUUGGGGGCAUCCCUGAAUAACCAAAGCUUUAUGUGCUGAAAGAUGGUCUCGCGUCUGAUUAGCUAGAUGGCGGGGUAACGGCCCACCAUGGCGACGAUCAGUAGCCGGUCUGAGAGGAUGAACGGCCACAUUGGGACUGAGAUACGGCCCAGAGUCCUAUGGGAGGCAGCAGUGGGGAAUAUUGGGCAAUGGGGGAAACCCUGACCCAGCAACGCCGCGUGAAGGAAGAAGGCCUUCGGGUUGUAAACUUCUUUUACCAGGGACGAAGAACGUGACGGUACCUGGAGAAAAAGCAACGGCUAACUACGUGCCAGCAGCCGCGGUAAAAC